UAUUAAAAACUUAAAAGAAUUUCGAGAAAAAAUUCUUCAUCUUCUUCUCUUUAGCGCCUACAAAUCUCAAUUCCAUAAAACAUUCUUCGAAACAUGAACGUUCGAUCAAACUUAUAGACCUCCAUCUUCCUUCAUCAUCUCACCUUCCUCCUCACCAUCACACCACCAAAGGCUUGCCACUCCAUCUCCUCCUCACUCUCAAAAAAGCUUUCUACACAGGUUUUCACAAAAUCCUGAGAAAACUCAACCCCGAUUUGGUCAUUUAUGAUUUUCUCCAGCCAUGGGCGCCUGGCCUAGUUUCUGAAUUUUUUAUUCAUGAUUAUAUGAAACCGAAAUUAUCCCACUUUCUUGAAUCGAUCUCAAAUGGAAUGAAGGUUCAAGAUAAGGUUGAAGAAUGCUUCGAAAGCUCUUCAACGUUAAUUUGAUAAAGAGUAUCAGAUAACUGGAGUGGUGAUAAUUUUCCCAGCCUGCAAUUGAGAUAUUUCCAAGGGGCUUAGUUGGAAUUCACUUGGUGAUAAUUGCUUCAUUUGAUCAUCUUUCUUGCUUACAACAAGUGGCUUACGAAAAUUGCUUUAUUUGAUAAGAAUUCCCUUCCAAGGCCAACAAUGGAGGACGUUUCACUGUUGAUCUCAUACAACGUGACUCCCCUUUGUAAUCCUUCCGAAUCCCAAUUUAUAAUUUCUUUGUGGCUCAGAUAUGGAGACAGAACAAACUUCAGCAAAGAAAGGCAAGAAAAAGAAUUCAAAAUCUGCAGUUGCAGAGGUCGGUGAACCUAUGUCACUGGAUAAUGGAGGUGAUUCGGAGGAAGCUAAAUCAGAGAAGAACAAGAAAAAUAACGAGAAGCAAAACUGGAUGAGGAUGUUCAACCAGCUCCUUAUUCAGUGGAGAACUCAAUUGGCGUUAAGAAUGGAGGAGACUAUGGAUCAAUCUGGUCGGGUAUGUCUCGGGUAGGUUCUUGGGUCCAUUUUAGUUUAUUAAGGCACGAAACCAAAAGUUCAAAAGACUAUUUCUUACGUAAGUUUUAACAUAAAGAUAAAUACACAUUUGUAGGAUUUGGAUU